rnacentral:rRNA from 1 species
UACGUAGGUCCCGAGCGUUAUCCGGAUUUAUUGGGCGUAAAGCGAGCGCAGGUGGUUUAUUAAGUCUGGUGUAAAAGGCAGUGGCUCAACCAUUGUAUGCAUUGGAAACUGGUAGACUUGAGUGCAGGAGAGGAGAGCGGAAUUCCAUGUGUAGCGGUGAAAUGCGUAGAUAUAUGGAGGAACACCGGUGGCGAAAGCGGCUCUCUGGCCUGUAACUGACACUGAGGCUCGAAAGCGUGGGGAGCAAACAGG